UUACUAAAAACUGCGACACUGUAGAAAAUUCAACUGCCUGAAAAAUACAAAAAGAACUUCGACACUUCGAGCGAAGGCCCAUCCUUAAACGACCAGCCUGACGAAGGGCCUUCGCUCGAAACGUCAAAGUUCGUUUUGUAUUCUUCACGUAAUUGAAUCUUCCAGUGUCGCAAUUUUAAUCCUUGCUACCUAUACGGCUAUACUGCCAAUGAAGGUCCAUACAGACCGAACGCGAUUCGACAACGCGACGCGAAUUUUCAGUUUUUAAAAACAAAUAAAACCGUCAACGGAUAAAAAUUUAUAGAGCAUAGCAAUAGGCAAUUCCAGCUUUUAGUUUAUGCGUGCAGGGGAUGAUGGGAAGUAAGGCAUCAUAUUGCCGGUUAUGCUGAAAAAGUUCAAUAAAAACUGCCGAAAUAACAGAAAUAUUUGAAUAUUUACAAGUAUAAGCUGUCACUCCGUGUUUACACGGCCACCAUUAUUAUUUCUUCAGCAUAAUCAGCAACACGAUGCCUUACUUCCCGUCAUCCCCUGCACACAUAAACUAAAAGCUGGAAUUGCCUAUUCAAAUAUUUCCAUUGUAUAUAUAAGUAUUGGAAAGCCCAAACCGAG